GCGGAGGGAUCAUUACACANAUAUGAAGGCGGGCUGGAACCUCUCGGGGUUACAGCCUUGCUGAAUUAUUCACCCUUGUCUUUUGCGUACUUCUUGUUUCCUUGGUGGGUUCGCCCACCACUAGGACAAACAUAAACCUUUUGUAAUUGCAAUCAGCGUCAGUAACAAAUUAAUAAUUACAACUUUCAACAACGGAUCUCUUGGUUCUGGCAUCGAUGAAGAACGCAGCGAAAUGCGAUAAGUAGUGUGAAUUGCAGAAUUCAGUGAAUCAUCGAAUCUUUGAACGCACAUUGCGCCCUUUGGUAUUCCAAAGGGCAUGCCUGUUCGAGCGUCAUUUGUACCCUCAAGCUUUGCUUGGUGUUGGGCGUCUUGUCUCUAGCUUUGCUGGAGACUCGCCUUAAAGUAAUUGGCAGCCGGCCUACUGGUUUCGGAGCGCAGCACAAGUCGCACUCUCUAUCAGCAAAGGUCUAGCAUCCAUUAAGCCUUUUUUUCAACUUU
rnacentral:rRNA from 1 species